rnacentral:rRNA from 1 species
UACGUAGGGUGCAAGCGUUAAUCGGAAUUACUGGGCGUAAAGCGUGCGCAGGCGGUGAUGUAAGACAGGUGUGAAAUCCCCGGGCUUAACCUGGGAACUGCAUUUGUGACUGCAUCGCUGGAGUGCGGCAGAGGGGGAUGGAAUUCCGCGUGUAGCAGUGAAAUGCGUAGAUAUGCGGAGGAACACCGAUGGCGAAGGCAAUCCCCUGGGCCUGCACUGACGCUCAUGCACGAAAGCGUGGGGAGCUAACAGG